rnacentral:rRNA from 1 species
AUUGAACGCUGGCGGCAUGCCUUACACAUGCAAGUCGAACGGCAGCACGGGAGCAAUCCUGGUGGCGAGUGGCGAACGGGUGAGUAAUAUAUCGGAACGUGCCCAGUAGUGGGGGAUAGCCCGGCGAAAGCCGGAUUAAUACCGCAUACGACCUGAGGGUGAAAGCGGGGGAUCGCAAGACCUCGCGCUACUGGAGCGGCCGAUAUCAGAUUAGCUAGUUGGUGGGGUAAAGGCCUACCAAGGCAACGAUCUGUAGUUGGUCUGAGAGGACGACCAGCCACACUGGGACUGAGACACGGCCCAGACUCCUACGGGAGGCAGCAGUGGGGAAUUUUGGACAAUGGGCGCAAGCCUGAUCCAGCAAUGCCGCGUGCAGGAAGAAGGCCUUCGGGUUGUAAACUGCUUUUGUCAGGGAAGAAAUCUUCUGGGCUAAUACCCCGGGAGGAUGACGGUACCUGAAGAAUAAGCACCGGCUAACUACGUGCCAGCAGCCGCGGUAAUACGUAGGGUGCGAGCGUUAAUCGGAAUUACUGGGCGUAAAGCGUGCGCAGGCGGCUUUGCAAGACAGAAGUGAAAUCCCCGGGCUCAACCUGGGAACUG